rnacentral:piRNA from 1 species
UCUGGUUCCUCCAAUGCCAUA